rnacentral:rRNA from 1 species
CCUACGGGAGGCAGCAGUGAGGAAUAUUGGACAAUGGGCGGGAGCCUGAACCAGCCAAGUCGCGUGAGGGAAGACGGUCCUAUGGAUUGUAAACCUCUUUAGGCGGGGAGCAAUGCCGGGCACGUGUGCCAGGAGGGAGAGUACCCGCAGAAUAAGCAUCGGCUAACUCGGUGCCAGCAGCCGCGGUAAUACGGAGGACGCGAGCGUUAUCCGGAUUGAUUGGGUUUAAAGGGUGCGUAGGCGGAUUUUUAAGUCAGCGGUAAAAUGUCCGGGCUCAACCCGGGCCGGCCGUUGAAACUGGGGAUCUUGAGUGGGCGAGAGGUAUGCGGAAUGCGUGGUGUAGCGGUGAAAUGCAUAGAUAUCACGCAGAACUCCGAUUGCGAAGGCAGCAUACCGGCGCCCGACUGACGCUGAGGCACGAAAGCGUGGGGAUCGAACAGGAUUAGAUACCCGGGUAGUC